GUUCUUUUCUAUAUGAUCGCUCUGCCUUAAAAACAGAGAGGAAAGUCCGGACACACACCGAUUUAAUCCGGAAAAGUAGUGGGUAAUUCCCAUCGUCCGCGAGGAUAGAGGUGCGAGCAGAGACGUCCGAGCCGAAAGGCAGAGACCCCGUCAGGGUGACGCCCAUGGAAACAUGGGAUUGAAACGGCAAAAUCCUUACUCGUGUGCAAGGUCGUACUGGCGAAAGCCUUUGUGCCGCUCGAGGCGAUUGGUAACAAUCGUCCCAGAUAAAUGAUCAUACUCGACAGAAUCCGGCUUAUCGGAAAAGAACAUAU
rnacentral:RNase_P_RNA from 1 species